GGUUCACCCCCAAGAGAAUCCAGACUCCUCCUUGCCCAGUGAAGGUUCUUGUAAGUGGAUUCAUACCACGUAGCUCCUCUGGAAGCAAGGUCAACACCCUCAAGGGAUGGAAUUCUGUGAGUCAAGAACCCAACAGGAGCUCAAAUGUGGAGUGUGAUGGAACAGAUUCUAAAAGGAAGAUGAGAAUCCUUAACUGUAUAUUUCCUAGAAAAUUUUUGAUAAGAAAUACUUGGAAGGCUGAGGUAAAUGAAGCAUCAUAGUUUCGAGGUCAGCCCAAACUAACACAGGAAAAUCCUGUCUCAAAACAUCGGAAAAAAGAGCCUGGCAGUUGUGGUGCACACCUUUUGUCCCAGCACUCAGGAGGCAGAGGCAGGUCCCGAGCCUUCACUCAGUAUCUGAUGGAAGCAGAAGCAGACACCCACAACAAAACACUGAGCCGAACUCCUGGAAUACAGUUGUUGAGAGGGAGGAGUGACGAACAAAGACAGGGUUUCUCUGUAUAGCUUUGGAGCCUAUCCUGGCACUUGCUCUGGAGACCAGGCUGGCCUGGAACUCACAGAGAUCCACCUGCCUCUGCUUCCGGAGUGCUGGGAUUAAAGGCAUGCACCACCAGCGCCCAGCUUGAUUGUUUCUAGUUUAAAUUUAAAAAAAGAAAGAAAACUGUAUUUUAUUGGUGAUGAGGUGGUCGAGUGGUUAAGGUGAUGGACUACUAAAAUGGAUUUUAUUAUUUAAUGUGCAUGAGUAUUUUGCCUGUGAGUACGUCUAUGCAUAAUGUAUGUUCUUGGCACAUAGGAAGGCCAGAAGAGGCUUAUUCCACCAUAUGGCUUCCAGAAAUCUGAGGUCAUCAGGCUUAGCAGCAAGCACCUUUACCCACUGAGCCAUCUUACCUGUCCUAUUUUAUUUCAUUUCAGCAUUGACAGUGGAACUCAGGGCCCUGUGCAUGCUAGGCAAGUGCUUUAUCACAAGAUAUAUGGCGCCUUAUCUAUUUUAAAAUCCUAUUGAAAUGAGUAUGUCUCCUUCGCUUUUGACACCACACGGUGACAUUUCAUAUUGGGUAUUCCUUUUAGUUAGUGUAAACAUUAAGUCCCAGUUGUAUAGUUAUAGAUGAAGGAAAACAUGUUCAGACUGAAGCUUCCCUUCCACAUUUUAUAUUGUGUAAACACUAGGAAUUAAUCCAUUUCUGCUGCCCACCACCAUAUGUUUUCCUCGUCACUUACGGUCUUUCCUGGAAUUCUGUGCACAUCAGAGUAUAAGUCAUACAAGAACUAGAGGUGAGAGCACUGGCUUGAGUCCCAGUUUACCAAGCACAUGCUGCUGAAAGCACAACAGUGGGCAGAGGACUGUGACAGCUCGCUCUCUGAAGUCGGUGUGUAUGGAAAUGUCUAGACUAAUUCUGUUGUUGAUGUCUCUCCUUGAUGUGUUGAGUCAUAAAGAUUAUAGUUGAAAUUGGAAUCAUUGCUUCUGGAUUUAAAAACAACUACUCGGGAAGCUGUUGAACUCGGUGAGUUUGAGAACAGCCUGGUCUACAGAGUGAGUUCCAGGACAGCCGGGGCUACACAGCGAAACCCUGUUUUGAAGAGAAAAAAAGAUUAGAGUGAGUCAUCCAUCUGCGUCUCCAGCCACUUCUCCAUGGCUUUGACAGGAUCCCAGAACCGAAACAGCAGAGUCACCAUGGACACAAAUGACUGAUGAUCCAAAUGCAAGCCCAGGAGCCUGAAAUCAUUUCUCUUUGAAAAGAAGGAUCCGGACCUGUUACUCCUUUGGCGGCUACAUGGAGACUGUUUCGGACCCUCUUCUGCCUACCUUUCCCAGAAUUCACCUCAUCUCCUAGUCCCACCUAUCUUCCUGCCUCAUUGGCUGAACAGUGUUUUAUUCAUUAACCAAUAAGAGAAACAUAUACAGGACAUCCCCCAUCAAGAAACUGGCUGGAAAUGCCAGGCGUGAUGACAUACACCUGUAAGCCUAGCACAUGGGAGGCUGAGGUACAAUAGAGAACCACAAGUUCCAGGCCAGCCUGAGCUAAAGAAUGAAGGCCUGUCUCAAAAAAAGGAACGGGAACUACAAAACAGCUCAGUGGUAGAAAGCUUGUGUAGUGUGUGAAAGGUCACAGAUUCAAUCCCAGGUUCAUAGUUGUUUAUUUUCAAAAAAUUAAAAUUGGGGCUGCCUUGCAUAAAACUGUAUGUGGUAUCCCAUGCCUGUAAUUCUAGCACUUGGAGGGUGGAGACAGGAGGAUCAGAAAUCCAUUAUUCUAAA
rnacentral:lncRNA from 1 species